AAUGUACCACUCCCAUCAAAGAAACUGCAUUUUGCCAUAGUGGUAUGUGCUAUUUCUCCUGCUGGACAGACAUCCUGUUGAGGAUUGCCAAGCCAAGGCUCCAGAACUGGCUGCAAAAGACAGUUUACUUGCCCUCCCAGAUACAGCAAAAGGAGAUGCUUGGCAAAUGCUUUGGAGGACCUGAACAGUGAUAUCACACAAGGCUGGCAGCUCUCCCUUGCCUCCAAACGAGGGGAGAGGAGAUGCUGAGACAGACUGUCUAGACAUUUUUCAGAUUGCUCAGUGUUCUCCAUCAAGGCCUGGACCACCUCCCAGAGAUUCCUGCACACAGGGGACUCUGUUCACAGGGAUUUCAACCAGCCUAUGCAAAUGCAUCUAUAGUACAAUCACAUCAUCUUCCCAAAUAUUCUGGAGGUGCCGUUCCCCAAGCCCUCUCCACAGAAGGGCAUUGCUAUGCUUGAGGAAGGAACAGAGGACAAGGAGUCCUCCUGAACAGUGCCCCUGGUCUCUAGACAGGUAUCUGAGGGGAAACUUACGUCUCUUGAAAUUGUGAACCUAGAUUUGCCUUCCCAGCAGCAUGGUACUACUAGGAAGCUACUAAGAAAGCCCUUAAAAUAACUGUUUUGCCAGCACGCAACCAGGCCAGCAGAGGCAAGAGCUGCUUAAGUGGCAGUGGCAGCUUGCAUCCCUCUUGACAUCCAGCAAAAGCGUACAGGCUUGAUAAACCUCUUCGCAAUUGAUAAACAAGCAUCAUUGUUCAGUAAUGCAGAAAGCGAGUUUUCUCUCUGCUCAGUCCCUUUUCCCCACUUUCGUGGCACUCAGUUGUACCUGAGCCUGACUUUAGUUACUCUGCCAGCUUUCUUCCUCGGGGUAGGCUGAAUGCUAAAUCAUCUCAAGAUUUUUCUGGCCUUUUAGUUUUUAGAGUUUGUUAGGAUCUCUACCUUCACGGAUCUGAUAGGGUAACAGUUUUACACUAAAAGAGAGUAGGUUUAGGUUAGACAGUAGGAAAAAAUUCUUUACGGUGAGGGUAAUGAAGCACUGGAGCAGGCUGCCCAGAGAAGCUGCAGAUGCCCCAUUCCCCGCAAGCGUUCAAGGCCAUGUUUGGAUGGAGCUUUGGGCACCCUGGUCUGGUGGGAGGUGUCCCUGCCCGUGGCAGGGGAAUUGGAACUAGAUGAUCUUUAAAGGUCCCUUCUGACCCAAACCUUUCUAUGUUUCCAUCUAAAUCAUGGUACAGGAAAUUAACACAGAAUUUUGGCGUUCUUUACAUUCAGAAAGCUGACAGGAGACUCAUCACUUGUUUCUGUUACCUUUAGAAUUUUCAAAUUGCGAAAUAUCAUUGUGGAUUUUGCUUUUUUCCUCAGGGAAACUUCUAAAACUCAAAGUUCCCCUCUCACUGAAAUGUCUGCAAUUGCUGCCACCUCUGUGUGAGGUAUGAUCUCUUCCUCUUGAAACUAUCAGGUAGAUUAUAAUAAGCACUUAGCUUUGAUUCCUGAAAAUUCAUAGCUAAUCACCAUAAAAUUUCACUUUUAUUGAGGUCCAUUUUACAUCUACUCUUCUGCACUUGAAAAGCAUUUUUCAUUUUGAUCAUUAAUCAUUGCUCUAGUAGCCUUAUUUAUCUAAGUUCCCAACUAACAUAUUCAUUCAGUGAAACUCCUACUAAAAUUAAAAGGAAUCCUAUUAGCAGUUAUAUCAGUAGCUUGUGUUACAGACAGCAAUGUUUAAUCAGACACCUAUCAAACUUAUGCAGAAAACCUUCCAUGGAACCUCAGAGCAAGGAAUAGAUAAACAUCUGGUCAUUAAAGAGGUUUCAUUUUUCAAGAAGGGAUGUAAGGAAUACAUUUGCAAAAGUGUAUCACCACAGACACAUUUGUAUAUGCAAAAAAUAGAACAAUUUACAAAGUAGUCGUGCAAAGUAAUUCUACAGUAAAUGCUGAUUUUGGCAGGCUCCAGUUCUAUAUGCAUAUUUUGCCAAACGUACCCCACUAGCCCUUUUCUUUUCCCUAGACUGGUCCUAAAAAUUCCUUCAGAAAACAAAGAUUCUGCACAUCUUAGCACUUUAUGAACUGUCUGUCAAGCAAGUACGGUUCCCACAGACUGCAAAGGAACUGCUAAGUGACCACACUUUAAUGCCAUUAAGCUACUGGGCUUCUGACAACCAUGUGUUUGUGUAAUGAAUCAGUCAAAUUAAAAGUGUGUGACAAAAA